rnacentral:rRNA from 1 species
UGGCUCAGGAUGAACGCUGGCGGCGUGCCUAAUACAUGCAAGUCGAGCGAACGGACGAGAAGCUUGCUUCUCUGAUGUUAGCGGCGGACGGGUGAGUAACACGUGGAUAACCUACCUAUAAGACUGGGAUAACUUCGGGAAACCGGAGCUAAUACCGGAUAAUAUUUUGAACCGCAUGGUUCAAAAGUGAAAGACGGUCUUGCUGUCACUUAUAGAUGGAUCCGCGCUGCAUUAGCUAGUUGGUAAGGUAACGGCUUACCAAGGCAACGAUGCAUAGCCGACCUGAGAGGGUGAUCGGCCACACUGGAACUGAGACACGGUCCAGACUCCUACGGGAGGCAGCAGUAGGGAAUCUUCCGCAAUGGGCGAAAGCCUGACGGAGCAACGCCGCGUGAGUGAUGAAGGUCUUCGGAUCGUAAAA